rnacentral:misc_RNA from 1 species
GAUGAAGAACGUAGCGAAAUGCGAUAAGUAAUGUGAAUUGCAGAAUUCAGUGAAUCAUCGAAUCUUUGAACGCACAUUGCGCCCCCUGGUAUUCCGGGGGGCAUGCCUGUUCGAGCGUCAUUUCACCACUCAAGCCUCGCUUGGUAUUGGGCAUCGCGGUCCGCCGCGCGCCUCAAAUCGACCGGCUGGGUCUUCUGUCCCCUAAGCGUUGUGGAAACUAUUCGCUAAAGGGUGUUCGGGAGGCUACGCCGUAAAACAACCCCAUUUCUAAGGUUGACCUCGGAUCAGGUAGGGAUACCCGCUGAACUUAAGCAUAUCAAUAAGCGGAGGG